UUCCAUUUAUGCUUACUUCAAUUCACUUACAAAGUAUCGUGUAUUGUGAAUGAGAUUAGAAAAGCAUUUCCGAUUCCCUAAUUCCAACUAUUACCAGCAAAAGACGACUAAAACGGCAAUCCAUCAGAUCACCUCACGAGAAUAACAAUUAACAAACAGAACACGUGAUAAAUCACAGAAACGAUACCUCUCUGGAAAACCUAGAAGUGGAACUGAGGCGUGCAGAGGCGGAGGCACUGAUCGGUCUUCCGAGGACUAUCGCCGGUGAGCGGACAGCAGUGAUUGCCACGUCCAUUUAGACGUCGGAGAGGUCACCAAGAAGCUGAAAGCUUGAUGGAUUCAGAGACAAAAUAAACAAAGUGUUGUAAGAAUUGCUGACAAAAUCUCAAAGAGUAUUUAUCUGAGGUGUAGAAACUCUAUACGAGUAUAUACCAGGAUAUGAGAUAAGGAGAAAGAUUUUAAGAGAGAAAGUAGAGAUUGAAAUUUUGCUUCUGUGUUUUUUUUUUUUCUUGGAAAGAAAUGAGGUACUGUAUUUAUAGGAAAAGCAGAGGACCGUUGCAACAAAAAGAAAUUAGCCGUUAUCAUUAUAACGUUGGCCAAAAGCAUUUGAACGUUGCAAUUGGAACGUUGCAAUUAGAACGUUGCACAGCGUUCUUUUAUUCUUUUAAUAUUAUAAUAAUAUUUUAUAACAAUCUAACGUUACAAAGCUAACAUUCCAAAACAAUUUUUGUAAUAUAAUAUUAAUAUCAAUGAUUCAAUUCAAUUCAACCAACUAACAUAAGCCAAUUCAGCAUAUUUGAAUAUUCAACCAUUACUACGUUGUCAUCUUCAGCCAUACAUCAGAUAUUUUUUUCAUUAUUAAGGACAGUAAUCUUUCAUUGGUCACUCUUAUUCAUUUCAUUACAUAUCAUACAUAUCUUUCCUUUUUCAUCGUUAAUACAUUUUAUAUGAUUUGGGCAUAGUUCACGUAGGUUUGGGGUAAAAAAACUCACAGGAUAAAAACAAUUUUUAUUGAAAAAACCUACAGGAUUAAAAGUUUCUAAAACCUUAUGGGUCAGGAUUAGUUUAUAAAUUUUUUUUUACCGUGAAAAAAAAUAUAAUAAUAAUAAAAAAAAAAAUAGUCAAUUCUAUACCAAUAAAUCUAAACUUAACUUAAACUGCAUAAGAAUACCUACUAUCACUACUAUUUAUUGCAAUAACCUGAGUUAAAAAUGAUUUCAUAAAUUGAAGAGAUAGAAUUAUAUAUAUAUAUAUUGAAUUAUUAUGAUGAACAAAGUCAUGAUUCAGACAUGUAUGUCCAGGUGUACAGAGCUUUCAAUUCAAUUUCGGGCACUAUUUCUCAUGUGCAAUUAUUUUUCAGUAGCUAACACGUCAAGAGAGUUUGAGACUUUCUAAAAUAAGAUAUUUAAAAUGAAAUAUGUAAAAUUAAUUGUGUAUUUCGUAUACUGUAAAUUAAAAAACUUUUACGAGAACAAUAAACAAAAAAUUAAAAUAAUUGUACCUAAAGUGAUGAAAGCAUAUAAAAAUACAAAUAUUCACUAUAUAAAAUAAAUGGAAAUAUUAUUAAAAACACAUAGUAGAUUUUAAAUUAAACACUCGAGGAAUCUCUAUGAGUCUAUGCUUGUACAUGGAAAACAGACAAGUAAUGACUAAGAAUGAUUUUUCUUCUUUAAUAUAUAUAUAUUUUUCGAAAAAUAAUUUAUAUUAGGUUUUCAUCAUGGCCCUCACUUCUUCUGCAAGUUCUUUAAAGAGUGGUGUCACUUUGAUUCAUCAUAAUUAUAAAAAUGAAUAUAAAUAAUUUUUAUUAAUUUUAUAAAUGAUUUUUUUUGUUAUAAAUAAUUAUUUUAGUUUAUCAAUAUAGUAAGUUUUAGAAAUAAUUAAAUAAAUAAUAACGUUUAAUUUACAAAACAUGAGAGAGAAUGUAUAUAUAAAUUAUAUUGUUUCUAAAAUUUAAUUAAAGUUGUGUAGUGGAGCUAAAUCCACUUUAAUCCUGAUCCUAACCCACUUGAGAUGGGGUUUUAAGGAUUGAGGUUUUUUCUGACUCCUAAAAUAGGACUUUUUUUAAUAAUGGGUUGAGGCUGGUUUUGGGACCAUGGGUUAAAUUGACACUUCUAGUGAUUUUUUAUACGCUCCUCUUCUGUAAAAUUUCUUCCAUCACUGAAUGAGUCUCUUCUAUAUGACAUAGACAACCUAACGCCUUUGAUAUUAUGUUAGUAAUGUAAUAUGAUACAUUUGAAAGGGUGUUGGUGUUAUUAUUUUAUUGACAUUUAAACUUAAAUUAAUAUGAACAGAUGUUACAUUUGUACUGAAUGACUGCUUCAAUGGAUUCAGCCGUUGACCAACAACUCAACAAUAAAUAAGAUAAUUAAAGGAUAAUCUAUAACGAUAGUAGUCAUUGAUGAUUAAUGAAAAUAAUAAUAAUUAUUAAUGAACAAUUAAUUGGUUUGAUUUAAUUAUGAGACAUAUAAAUUCAGGUUUGACAUUAAGAUAAAUGACACUUUUUUCAUUGUUCUCUUUACUAAAUUCUUUGAGAAAUAUUGUUGACUUUAGGUGUCAAAGUACUUUCUGUAGGUAGGUGGACUGAUGGAUUCAAGAGUAACAGCAAGCAAGUUGGUAAUCAAUACUUACAAGAACAAAAUUGUGAAGCAAGGAUAUCGAUCCUCGAUCUCUAAAACUGAAACAUUUUGACGCCUAUUGUGGGAUCUGAGGAUGAGAGAAGAAACCCAAUGAUAAUUACAAGGAACAUGGGAGAUCAAUGAAUUUGAUAGAGUUGAUUUGAGAUAUACAGAGACAAAUGCAAGAGAUGCAGAGGACACACAAUGCGGAGAUAACAACCUUAAAAGUCAACGGUACUAUCGGGCGGAGGUAACAAUCUGUCCAACAGUCGGUAUUGCCUACUCAUGUUCCUAUGAGGGAGAGUAGUCAGGUAGGAGAGUCGGACAUAAUAGGACAGGAGGCAAGUAGCGUCGUGGCCAGGACAACCCAUUAUGUCCAAAACGAUCUUAGAAGGUUUGUACCCAUUCACGGUUGCAAUGAUGGAGGCACCAAUGCUAGAGAAAAAUACCUCUUGGUGGAUCAACUAAUCCGGACAAACAGCUUCGAUCCUUUGUAAAUACCAUGGCUUUUUAUUCAUCAAGUGACAUAGUAUGGGCAAUUACAAGAAAGAGUAGUUGAUUUUAUGCACAUAGAAGAAAUACGCGUUUUUCGCAAAGGAGGAGGAGGCAACUGCCUCAUCAGUUGGUAGGGUACGAAGGGACAACAAGAAGACUAAGGAGACAAAGGAGGUGGCCUGAAGCCGAAGAAGCUCUCCAAGGAGUCCAAAUUUAAUCACUGUCCACCUAUGAAUACUCCAAAAGAAAACUAAAAUUUUAGAAGAAUCAUUGAGUACUGACCUCCUACCUCCAUUAAAAAGGAAUCCAACACGUUGACGAAAGAAAGCAUUAUCAAUAUAAAAAACAUAUAUUAUUUAGAUUUAGCUAACAAUCUAUUUGUCAAUGUAAUUAGAAACAUCAAACUAAUAUGAAUUUUUAAAAGGGUUAAAUAUGUUUUUAGUCCCUGUACUUUGGAUGAUUUUGGUUUUAGUCUAUUUUCAAACUAUAGUACAAUUUAGUCCUUCAACUUUAGAAAACUCUGGUUUUAGUCCUUUUUACCAAAUUCUUUUAACUUUAUUUUUUGUUUCAAGUACGUUUCAUUAUAGCAUUUGGAUUGUUUACACUGUUUGACACAUUUUUGCUUUAAUGUUAACCGAGAAACGUGCUUGAAACAAAAAAUAAAGUUAAAAAAAUUUAGUAAAAAGGACUAAAAUCAAAGUUUUCUAAAGUUGAAGGACUAAAUUAUACCAUAGUUUGAAAAUAGACUAAAACCAAAAUCAUCCCAAAGUAUAGGGACUAAAAACAUAUUUAACCCUUUUUAAAAUUAUCUUAACUAUUGAGAUUUUAUUCAUUCUACAAAAGGGAAUUCAAUUAUUUAUUCUUUUUAUUAUUAUAUUUAUUAUUUCAAUUUUUAUUGGAUAAAGAUGUGAAUAGUCAAAAUAUUUUUUUUUAAAGAAAACGUUUCAACAAUACUAUACAGUUAGGGUUGAUUAUUCUCUAAUGAUAUUCAAAGUUUCAUUUUGAUUACCAACAAUACAUUUAAUAAGAUAAGAUGCAAAUUAUCAAAUAAAAGUUUAAAUUCAAUUGGAAACAACACAAUUAUUUUUGUAAUGUCUCAUUGUUUAUGGAACGGAAAAAUGUUCAUAGUGAUUUCUACAGCAUGUUCAUAUAUAUAUAUAUAUAUAUAUAUAGACACACACAUCAAAUUUUUGAAUUUGAUGGAAAAAAAAGAUGCAAGAAAAAGGCAUUACAGUUAGUGAUUUCUAUAAAUUUUUAUACCAAUUACUAUUAAAUGCAUAAGACGGGAAUCGAACGCCGUCAUGCAUCAGCUAAUAGUUAAUAAUUUAAAGUAUUAACUAUCGUAAGAAAAAGUAUACUACCGUUUAAUUAUAGGGUAUUAGAUCAUUAAAUUACAAAUUGGGCACUAUUGGUACCUACUCACUUCUACUCUGAACCAUAGCCUUCCCAUGUGUUCAAAGUCAUUUACCCAUCCAUCUGACAAGUUAUCAACCAAGUAUACCAUUAUCUCAAAUACAUUGUAAACCAUAAACCUAAAUAGGAAAAAUCCAACCAUCUAACCAAGACAGCAAAUAACAACAAACUAUCAUACAAUAAGCCAAUCACAGGCUUAGGAUAAAUAAGCAAAAUAUACCUUGAAGAUAACCUUUGCCUUUAUUAAUGAGAUCCAGAGCCACUGUCACUAUAGUACAGUAUAUACAGAUGAAUUAGAGAAACAAUAAUUGGACUUUAACCUCGAAUCACAUUUAAAAUAUACUUCAUCAGUUAGUACCGACACACUGUAAUCUGUGUUUUGUAUUGUAUGGGAGAAAACAGAACUCAUAAGGACAAAGCUUUCCCCAAUGCACACAAGGCUCAACCUGUUGGGCUCUGAGGAGUAUACACCUACAAAGCUUUCCUCAGUUCAAGACAAAAUGGUACCUUGAGUCCACGUAGCUCUCGACAUCCCAGAGAAAAGAACCAAAAGUCACAGCCUCUAAAACAAGUUUCUUUAAACCACCAAAGCUAAUUUUCACGUUUUCAUCCUUAGAGACUGACCCCUCGGGUGUUACAACAAUUUCAGGUCUUCCAAACAGUGCCUCUGUGUGCUUCUCAAUGAUGCUGAUAGCCUCUUUGGAUCUAAUUGUUGCAUAUCUUUGCAGGGUAUCUCCAUCAAGGGACAUCACAUAGUUGCGCAAUUUGGUUGCCUUUAUACCAUAGCCAAAUCCACCAGCACUCACGUCACCACCAGGCCAAGUGGAUACUUCAGGAUGAGACAUCCCUCUAGAAGUGUCUACUUCAAUACCGGGUCUCGCAUUAUCCAUCGUAGUUUGUUGAACGCUAUUCUCUUCUUCCGUUUCAUUUAGAAGAACUUUCAUUGUCUUCUCCAGCUGGAACCUUUGAUCAACUCGCUUAAGAAAAUAACCAUACAUCACUGAUGCUGCAUAGACCUGCCCUACCCUGAAUUUGCUGAUUUCAGCUAUGGAUGCUAUAUCUCCUACUUUGUUACCCAUAAUGAGGGUCAGGUGGUUUUGGAUCAUUUCGUACGCUUCACGUGAGUGAAGCUUCACAUGUUUACCAUCCUCAUCUGGCCAGAAAUCAAUCUUACCAGACAGAUCUGGGGUUACAGAUGGUGUCAAAGAAAUAUUAGCAUCAAUGAACUUCUGCACCACCAAUGCGUACAAGAUCUCCUCGAGUGCUUUCCUCCUCUCAUUAGCCUUCACCUCGGCAAUCCUCCUGGAAAGGUUUGGAAGCCAUCACAAUGAUCAACAACGGGUUUCUUUAAGACAAACAUUUUCAGAUUUAUAAAUAAAAGAUCUUAAGUGGAACCACAUUGAACGUGGACCACAUACUAAUAUAAUACAUCAAACAAAGCCUUGAAGUGAUGUAGAAAAUUAACGUGUGUUUAAUUUAUAUUUCACUAGUCUUUUAACUUCCAGUGGAAUAUAAUACAGUAAGGUGUGUAGUUUGGGAAAAUUUCUUACAUAUCUAAACGUACAACACCUGUAGUCAAACCAUAAAAAAGCCAAAAGAAUUGAACACGCACAUCAUACAAAUUAUACUUCACACCAAACCUAAAUCAUAGAGAACAUCAGAAUGAUUUGCUGCUAUCUAAUGGAAUAUGUUUCAUUCAUACAAGUUAUGGAUGCCAAAAUGAGCAAGGAUGGAAGUUUGUCAGAUUUAUUACGAGAAACUUAAGAGAGUGUGACACAUGAGGAUGAAACAAACCUGUACAAAAUCAAAUCCGUGCCUGAAGCAGAAGGUUCUUCCUUUUGUUGAUCAGCAUCCCGGUCAGUUUGGAGCUGCUCAAGCUGCUGGUCCACGGCAGCAGGCACAAGAUGCGGGUGAUCUACCAAAAUCUGAGAAAGAAACUGCCCAAUCGGAGACUCCAACUGAAGAGGAGCAAUCUUGGCAUGGGCAUCCGAUUCAAAUGACUCGGGAAAUGACGAAGCUGCUCUAACUACAAAACCUCUUCUACGACCUUGCUUGGGGAUAGAAAGUGAAGUGAAGCAAAGCUGGAAAACAUCAACAACAAAAAGCAGGUGAAUGAUAAUUAAUCAAUGAUAUCAAUCUCUUGACACGGUGUUUGGUUCCAUUUAUGCUUACUUCAUUCCACUUACAAAGUAUCGUGUUAUGUCAAUGAGAUUAGAAAAGCAUUUCCGAUUCCCUAAUUCCAACUAUUACCAGCAAAAGAUGACUAAAACGGCAAUCCAUCAGAUCACCUCACGAGGAUAACAGUUAACAAACAGAACACGUAAUCAAUCACAGAAACGAUACCUUUCUGGAAAACCUAGAAGUGGAACUGAGGCGUGCAGAGGCGGAGGCGCUGAUCGGUCUUCCGAGGACUACCGCCGGUGAGCGGACAGCAGUGAGUGCCACGUCCAUUUAGAAGUCGGAGAGGUCACCAAGAAGCUGAAAGCUGGAUGGAUUCAGAGACGAAAUGAACAAAGUAAGCGCAGAAGAAACGAAACCCUAGAGAAAGAGAAAAUGGUUAUAAAUGAAUGAUUCGAUUCGAUUGAAUUCAAUUCUGGUGUGCGUUCU
rnacentral:lncRNA from 1 species